CGCUGGCGGCGUGCCUAAUACAUGCAAGUCGAACGCACAGCGAAAGGUGCUUGCACCUUUCAAGUGAGUGGCGAACGGGUGAGUAACACGUGGACAACCUGCCUCAAGGCUGGGGAUAACAUUUGGAAACAGAUGCUAAUACCGAAUGAAACUUAGUGUCGCAUGAUACGAAGUUAAAAGGCGCUUUGGCGUCACCUAGAGAUGGAUCCGCGGUGCAUUAGUUAGUUGGUGGGGUAAAGGCCUACCAAGACAAUGAUGCAUAGCCGAGUUGAGAGACUGAUCGGCCACAUUGGGACUGAGACACGGCCCAAACUCCUACGGGAGGCUGCAGUAGGGAAUCUUCCACAAUGGGCGAAAGCCUGAUGGAGCAACGCCGCGUGUGUGAUGAAGGCUUUCGGGUCGUAAAGCACUGUUGUAUGGGAAGAACAGCUAGAAUAGGGAAUGAUUUUAGUUUGACGGUACCAUACCAGAAAGGGACGGCUAAAUACGUGCCAGCAGCCGCGGUAAUACGUAUGUCCCGAGCGUUAUCCGGAUUUAUUGGGCGUAAAGCGAGCGCAGACGGUUGAUUAAGUCUGAUGUGAAAGCCCGGAGCUCAACUCCGGAAUGGCAUUGGAAACUGGUUAACUUGAGUGCAGUAGAGGUAAGUGGAACUCCAUGUGUAGCGGUGGAAUGCGUAGAUAUAUGGAAGAACACCAGUGGCGAAGGCGGCUUACUGGACUGUAACUGACGUUGAGGCUCGAAAGUGUGGGUAGCAAACAGGAUUAGAUACCCUGGUAGUCCACACCGUAAACGAUGAACACUAGGUGUUAGGAGGUUUCCGCCUCUUAGUGCCGAAGCUAACGCAUUAAGUGUUCCGCCUGGGGAGUACGACCGCAAGGUUGAAACUCAAAGGAAUUGACGGGGACCCGCACAAGCGGUGGAGCAUGUGGUUUAAUUCGAAGCAACGCGAAGAACCUUACCAGGUCUUGACAUCCUUUGAAGCUUUUAGAGAUAGAAGUGUUCUCUUCGGAGACAAAGUGACAGGUGGUGCAUGGUCGUCGUCAGCUCGUGUCGUGAGAUGUUGGGUUAAGUCCCGCAACGAGCGCAACCCUUAUUGUUAGUUGCCAGCAUUCAGAUGGGCACUCUAGCGAGACUGCCGGUGACAAACCGGAGGAAGGCGGGGACGACGUCAGAUCAUCAUGCCCCUUAUGACCUGGGCUACACACGUGCUACAAUGGCGUAUACAACGAGUUGCCAACCCGCGAGGGUGAGCUAAUCUCUUAAAGUACGUCUCAGUUCGGAUUGUAGUCUGCAACUCGACUACAUGAAGUCGGAAUCGCUAGUAAUCGCGGAUCAGCACGCCGCGGUGAAUACGUUCCCGGGUCUUGUACACACCGCCCGUCACACCAUGGGAGUUUGUAAUGCCCAAAGCCGGUGGCCUAACCUUUUAGGAAGGAGCCGUCUAAGGCAGGAC
rnacentral:rRNA from 1 species